UGAAAAAAUGCAUACACAUCAAUUGCCAAACCAUUAGAAGGAAACAACUAUUUAUAAAAUUGUAUGCACAUCAAUUACCCAACCAUCAACAAUACCAAAUCAAAAAAUUGAAUACACAUCAAUUACCCAACAAUGAACACUUAGCAAUUACCCAACAAUCAACAGCAAUGCCAAAUCAAAAAAUUGAAUAUACAGCAAUUCCUCAAUCUGUUGCGCCGGAGCAGGAAUCAAGAACGUCGGAGGAGCAGUUAUGAAUAGCAGACAUCGCCGCCCUUCACCAGACCCAAUUCUCUUUAUUUAAAUAGGUUUAUUGGAAAUUGAGUUUAUUUAAUUAGAGUAUUGAUUUAUACCAAGUCCAGCCUAUUUGUAAAGCCCAAUUACUAAAAGAUUGGAAAUUUGGAACAGCAUCUUCUUCUCCACAGGGGCGGCGACUGGUUUGCUGCUGGGGCAGAACUUCGCGCGGCGUGGGGUCGGCGGCUGGGGAAGGGUAUUAUCCGGCUAUUCUCCGGGAACAGCGGUGGGGUCGGCCGACCCCCCCGACCCCACCUAGAUCCGCCGAUUUCACCUGGAAAUCUUACCUCGUACGCUUUCUUCCGCACUCCUCAGAAUCCCAUCAGGCGAGCAUCGGUCCAAGUGAGCAGCAUCAGCACUGAUUCCAUUUCCAAGGUAACAUACAAAUUAGAGUGAACAUGAGUUGGCAUA